UCCUCGAUGGUCUAACGGUUUAUGAUGUCCGCUUGUCACGCGGGAGACCAGGGUUCGACUCCCUGUCGGGGAG
rnacentral:tRNA from 1 species